rnacentral:rRNA from 1 species
CGGUCUCAGUUCGGACUGAAGGCUGAAAUUCGCCUUCACGAAGUCGGAAUUGCUAGUAAUGGCAGGUCAGCAUACUGCCGUGAAUACGUUCCCGGGCCUUGUACACACCGCCCGUCACACCAUGAGAGUUAGGAAUACCCGAAGCCUGUGAGCUAACUUUUAGAGGCAGCAGUCGAAGGUAGAACUAAUGAUUGGGGUGAAGUCGUAACAAGGUAAC